UUUACAGCACUAAAGAAAGGGGAGUUUGUGGAGUACAUUCCUACAAGGGAUUAUUAUCAUAGGCACACAAGGUCUUUGUAUUGGGAGGGAAAGCUUAUCCUUCCCUUUGCAGAUCAAUGGUGGUUCAGACUUUUAUUGGGAUGGAUGAUGCCUCCCAAAGUUUCUCUGCUCAAAGCUACGCAAGGUGAAGCUAUCAGAAAUUAUUAUCAUGAAAUGCAUAUUAUUCAAGACAUGCUUGUUCCUCUUUACAAGGUUUGCGAUGCUUUGGAGUGGGCUCAUCGUGAGUUUGAGGUACUCCUUUUCCCCAUACAACCUUUCUUCCAUAAAUUACGAGCUUGGUUUUGAAGUUUUUAGGUUUGUGUCUAGUAGAACUUUAAAUUUCAAUUUAUCGGGCAUGAUUCUAAAAUAUCAACUUUAAAACCCACAAAUCUAUUAGAUAGAAAAUUGUAUAUUUAAUCUUAUAAAAGUGUAAGUUCAGUAUCAUAUUAGAACAAAAUCCAAUUUUAUAUUUAAUAGAGUUCACGCAAAACUAAAAUUAAAGAACCUAUUGUAUACAAAAUUUGGAAGUCUUUAGGCAAGCGGUCUUUUCAAAGGUGAAUAAAAUUGAAGUAUGCAGCUUUAUUUGGUUAACAAUAACAAUUUGUUUAUGCGUUGUUGCACAGGUUUACCCUGUUUGGCUCUGCCCACACAGAAUCUUCAAGCUUCCAGUCAAAACCAUGAUAUUUCCCGAACCAGGAUUCGAGUUUCAAAAUCGACAAGGCGACACAAAAUAUGCUCAAAUGUACACAGAUGUUGGACUGUACUACGCACCAGGCCCUGUCCUGAGGGGCGAAGCUUUCGACGGUGCCGAAGCUGUUCGUAGAAUGGAGAACUGGCUUCUAGAAAACCAUGGAUUCCAGGCUCUAUACGCGGUUUCGGAACUGAAUGAGAAGGAUUUCUGGAAGAUGUAUGAUGCUGGGCUGUAUGAAGAAUGCCGUAAGAAAUAUGGAGCAGUAGGAACUUUUAUGACAGUGUACUACAAGACCAAGAAAGGUCGAAAAAGUGAGAAGGAAGUGAGGGAAGCGGAACAAGCUCAUCUCGAAACUACUUAUGCUGAAAUGGAACAACCUAAUUAAAUGAAGAUCUUGCCUCAAAUAUUUGGUGGGUUUCCUUACUUAAUUCUCUUUUUCUUCUUCUCUUUUUUCUUUUGUACUUCUUUUCUCUUUUCUUUUUUCAAGCAAUUGAUGCUUUUGUAGCUUCAUAUCUGAUGAUCUUAGUUGCCUGUCUGACCCACCUUGACUCUCCGAGUGGUUAAUUUGAGAAUAAGUUGUAGUUUGAACGGUUGAAUCUGAUGGAUUAUCAUUCGAGUUUCCUUUUUAUGUUUUGUUUUAUGCAUAGAUGAUGAGACAAUGUUGAAGAACAAAAAUGUGGUGAGAUUUGAGAUUAAUGUCUAUUUGAUUUUUGAAGUUUU
rnacentral:lncRNA from 1 species